GUCGUUGGAGAUUACGACGUUGAUAGGCCGCAGGUGUAAAGUCAGCAAUGGCAAAGCCGAGCGGUACUAAUUGCCCGUGACUUCGUUC
rnacentral:rRNA from 1 species